GAUGAACGCUGGCGGCGUGCCUAACACAUGCAAGUCGAGCGGUAGCACAGAGAGCUUGCUCUCGGGUGACGAGCGGCGGACGGGUGAGUAAUGUCUGGGAAACUGCCUGAUGGAGGGGGGUAACUACUGGAAACGGUAGCUAAUACCGCAUAACGUCGCAAGACCAAAGUGGGGGACCUUCGGGCCUCAUGCCAUCAGAUGUGCCCAGAUGGGAUUAGCUGGUAGGUGGGGUAACGGCUCACCUAGGCGACGAUCCCUAGCUGGUCUGAGAGGAUGACCAGCCACACUGGAACUGAGACACGGUCCAGACUCCUACGGGAGGCAGCAGUGGGGAAUAUUGCACAAUGGGCGCAAGCCUGAUGCAGCCAUGCCGCGUGUGUGAAGAAGGCCUUCGGGUUGUAAAGCACUUACAGCGGGGAGGAAGGCGGUGAGGUUAAUAACCUCAUCGAUUGACGUUACCCGCAGAAGAAGCACCGGCUAACUCCGUGCCAGCCGCCGCCGUAA
rnacentral:rRNA from 1 species